GCCCAAAUAAUAAGCCCACCCGCACACUACAAAAUAACCCACGCCUACCACCAAAACAUUUGUCAAAGUUAGUAAAUGCGAUUAAAAACAACCCAUUUGGCGCAAACAACCAGUACCGCAAGGGAACAAUGAAAAAACAAUGAAAAUUAAAGCACAGCACAGCAAAGAUAAACCCCUGUACCUUUUGCAUCAUGGUUUAGCAAACACCUCCGGGCAAAAAGCAUUUAAGCCCGCCCCCCCGAAACUAAACGAGCUAUUUUUGAGCAGCAAACAGAGCGAACCCGUCCCUGUAGCAAAAGGGUGGGAAGACUUAAAAAUAGGGGUAAAAAGCCAACCGAGUUUAGUGAUAGCUGGUUACUCAACAAAAGAAUUUUAGUUCAACUUUGGGUCAAAUAUAGACCAAUAAAAGUACACCAUUAAACCCAAAGACAUUCAACGGGGGUACAGCCCCGUUGAACCGGAAUACAACCCGAAUUGAGAGUACGAAACACACCCAUUUAAAAGUAGGCCUCAAAGCAGCCACCAACAACCAACCGCGUUACAGCACAUCAAAACAAAUCCCAUUAACAAACACACGCUCCAAAAACAUAAAGAGUCACCCUAUAACUAUAUAGAGACACCUAUGCUAAAACUAGUAAUAAGAAUUUAUUCUCUCAGCAUCCCUUUAAGUCAGACAGGAAAUACCACUGACAAUUACCAGACCAACACCCCUACAACCACCAACUUAUUUUAAACCAAAUGUAUCAGAAGCCUGUUAACCCAACACAGGAAUGCAACGAAAAGAAAGACAAAAAGCAGAAAAAGGAACUCGGCAACAAAAAUCCCAACUGUUUACCAAAAACAUAGCCUUUAGCCCUACAAGUAUUAAAGGUCCCGCCUGCCCAGUGAUAUUUUUAAACGGCCGCGGUAUCCUAACCGUGCAAAGGUAGCAUAAUCACUUGUCCCCUAAAUAGGGACUAGUAUGAACGGCUAAAUGAGGACUUUGCUGUCUCUUUCCGCCAGUCAAUGAAACUGAUCUCCCAGUCCAAAAGCUGGGAUAACAACAUAAGACAAAAAGACCCUGUGGAGCUUAAAACCAAAACCACCAAAAUGUCCACUUGGUUUUCAGUUGGGGCGACUUCGGAACAAAGACAAACCUCCGAAAAUAAUGGAACCCUCCAUAUCAAGACCUACACGCCAAAAUAAUCUUAAACUUGACCCAGACCCCUUCAAGUCUGACCAAUGAACCAAGUUACCCCAGGGAUAACAGCGCCAUCUUCUUUUAGAGUCCAUAUCAACAAGAAGGUUUACGACCUCGAUGUUGGAUCAGGACACCCCAAUAGUGCAGCCGCUAUUAAAGGUUCGUUUGUUCAACGAUUAACAGUCCUACGUGAUCUGAGUUCAGACCGGAGCAAUCCAGGUCGGUUUUUAUCUAUGUACGUGCUAUUUUCAGUACGAAAGGAUCAAAAUAGCAGGACCCAUACUACAAGCACGUCCUAGCACACAAACAUUGAAAACAUCUAAAAUGACAGACACACAACCACACACCCCAAUAUAAGGGCUU
rnacentral:rRNA from 1 species